rnacentral:rRNA from 1 species
GUUUGAUCAUGGCUCAGAUUGAACGCUGGCGGAAUGCUUACACAUGCAAGUCGAACGGCAGCACGGGGCAACCUGGUGGCGAGUGGCGAACGGGUGAGUAAUACAUCGGAACGUGCCCAAUCGUGGGGGAUAACGUAGCGAAAGUUACGCUAAUACCGCAUACGAUCUACGGAUGAAAGCGGGGGAUCGCAAGACCUCGCGCGAAUGGAGCGGCCGAUGUCAGAUUAGGUAGUUGGUGGGGUAAAGGCUCACCAAGCCGACGAUCUGUAGCUGGUCUGAGAGGACGACCAGCCACACUGGGACUGAGACACGGCCCAGACUCCUACGGGAGGCAGCAGUGGGGAAUUUUGGACAAUGGGCGCAAGCCUGAUCCAGCCAUUCCGCGUGCAGGAUGAAGGCCUUCGGGUUGUAAACUGCUUUUGUACGGAACGAAACGGUUCUCUCUAAUACAGGGGGCUAAUGACGGUACCGUAAGAAUAAGCACCGGCUAACUACGUG